UACGUAGGUGGCAAGCGUUGUCCGGAAUGACUGGGCGUAAAGGGUACGUAGGUGGCCGUUCAAGUUAGUAGUGAAAUCCCGGGGCUUAACUCCGGUGCUACUACUAAGACUGUACGGCUUGAGUGCAGGAGGGGUAAGUGGAAUUCCUAGUGUAGCGGUGGAAUGCGUAGAUAUUAGGAAGAACACCGGUGGCGAAGGCGACUUACUGGACUGUAACUGACACUGAAGUACGAAAGCGUGGGGAGCAAAC
rnacentral:rRNA from 1 species